rnacentral:rRNA from 1 species
AUUGAACGCUGGCGGCAGGCCUAACACAUGCAAGUCGAGCGGAUGAAGGGAGCUUGCUCCUGGAUUCAGCGGCGGACGGGUGAGUAAUGCCUAGGAAUCUGCCUGGUAGUGGGGGAUAACGUCCGGAAACGGGCGCUAAUACCGCAUCCGUCCUGAGGGAGAAAGUGGGGGAUCUUCGGACCUCACGCUAUCAGAUGAGCCUAGGUCGGAUUAGCUAGUUGGUGGGGUAAAGGCCUACCAAGGCGACGAUCCGUAACUGGUCUGAGAGGAUGAUCAGUCACACUGGAACUGAGACACGGUCCAGACUCCUACGGGAGGCAGCAGUGGGGAAUAUUGGACAAUGGGCGAAAGCCUGAUCCAGCCAUGCCGCGUGUGUGAAGAAGGUCUUCGGAUUGUAAAGCACUUUAAGUUGGGAGGAAGGGAAGUAAGAUAAUACCUUGCUGUUUUGACGUUACCAACAGAAUAAGCACCGGCUAACUUCGUG